rnacentral:lncRNA from 1 species
CUGAAAUGAAAGAGGGCAAGAGAAGUGCACAGAACCGUUCACCACAAAUCUCCUGAGGACGUCCGUAUCGACAGGCAAUGAAUGCGAAGUUUCCCUGUCCUGAUGGAGGUCCGACCAAACGAACAUGCAAUAAUCCGCCCCAGUCGUCCAGGCUCAGCGGGCCCCAGAGCUGCAGCCCUCGGUCCCGGGACUCCAUGGCCUUUCAUCUCAAUUGUGGAAAGAACCAACGCUUGCACGUGGACACACUCCAGUGAAAACACGAAGCCCAAAAACAACAAAAGAGUUUCUUUUAAACUUCUUCAAACCCCAGUCUUCCAAUAAAAGCUGAACAAACAUACCCUGCCACUUGCAAGCAGAGCGGCUGCUGUCCGGUGAGUUUCACAGAAAAAGGCCUUGCUUUCAAAAGGGAGGCUUUUGGGCCUAAUGAAAACUGCACCUUAACUGAAAUAAUAAAAUGCACACCACCCAAACACCAGCCAUCCAGCUCUACCAUUGGUUGUUUUCUCUGGGAGUGAGGUUGGUUGGUCACUUUCACUCUCUGUAGAUUCCUUGCUUUCAAAAAACACCUAAAAGUCCAUUGAAAACUGAAGCAUUUUCAUUAGUAGUCCCA